rnacentral:rRNA from 1 species
AUUGAACGCUGGCGGCAGGCCUAACACAUGCAAGUCGAACGGUAGCACAGAGAGCUUGCUCUCGGGUGACGAGUGGCGGACGGGUGAGUAAUGUCUGGGAAACUGCCCGAUGGAGGGGGAUAACUACUGGAAACGGUAGCUAAUACCGCAUAACGUCGCAAGACCAAAGUGGGGGACCUUCGGGCCUCACACCAUCGGAUGUGCCCAGAUGGGAUUAGCUAGUAGGGGGGGUAAUGGCUCACCUAGGCGACGAUCGCUAGCUGGUCUGAGAGGAGGACCAGCCACCCUGGAACUGAGACACGGUCCAGACUCCUACGGGAGGAAGCAGUGGGGAAUAUUGCACAAUGGGCGCAAGCCUGAUGCAGCCAUGCCGCGUGUAUGAAGAAGGCCUUCGGGUUGUAAAGUACUUUCAGCGGGGAGGAAGGCGGUGAGGUUAAUAACCUUGCCGAUUGACGUUACCCGCAGAAGAAGCACCGGCUAACUCCGUGCCAGCCGCCGCGGUAA